AGUUUUAAUUUUAAUUUGAGGGAGGUAUUCAGGAUAGUCCUUUUCGGUUGUAAAAUGCCUACCAGAACAAUGUUUAGCAGUGCCAAGCAGUUCAAACUGAGCCCAGCCAGACAAGUCAUCAUCCUGAACGUCGUGUACAUCUUUACUGCAGUGACAGGCUCUACAAACCUUACGCCAGAAAUGUAAAUCCAAGCCAGGACAACCAGAACCUGUAAUAACGAAAUAAUUAAAUUUUAAAAAUAUA